rnacentral:lncRNA from 1 species
UAAUCUAUAAGAAGUUGCUUGGACAUGAAUGUGUGUGGGGUUUUGGAGAUAAUUUGUUUUUCACCUGUAAUACAUGAUAUAAUCGUGUAAGGGAAAUGGGAAACAUGCUUUUUUUUUUUUUUUUUUCUUUCUUGUAUUCACUGCAGUUGUUCACUUGAAAAAUAGAAUGUCACCACAGUGUAAUUUUUAUACUGCUUGAAAGAUUCUGACUGGGCAAAUAAGCUGUAAGGGAUAUAAAUUAAGAAUACACAGAAGGGAUACAUCUGGAUAGAGUGGGACUCCUGGGUGUCAAUGAGCGUGCUUGGCUUAGAGUCAUAUGAAUGUCACCUGCCUUACUUCCUUCUCUGACCCUGGGAUACAGAAAAUCCAUCAGCAGGUUUCCACAGCUGGAUUGUCUGCUAGACCAGAUUGUCACCAGUGAUCCAGAGGCUUGUUUGGGUGGUCAAGGAACAAGAUCUUUGACAGCUUGGCAUUUUAAAGCAGAGGAAUGGAAGGACAAAUAAGACGCUUUUAAAAAGGGGGCUUUUUCUGUUUUACUUUGUGUAGAAUAUACUUCUAGUGCUGAGUUUCCUUUUCAAUUGCUAAUUGUGUCUAUAUCUAGACUGACCCAAUGUUGGGGUAACACAAAAGUGUCAAUAAAC